rnacentral:rRNA from 1 species
AAACUUUCAACAAUGGAUCUCUUGGUUCUCGCAUCGAUGAAGAACGCAGCGAAAUGCGAUAAGUAAUAUGAAUUGCAGAAUUUCGUGAAUCAUCAAAUUUUUGAACGCAAAUUGCACUUCUUGGUAUUCCGAGGAGUACACAUGCUUGAGGGUCAGU